rnacentral:lncRNA from 1 species
UGGACUUGAAAUUUUCCAGGUGUGUAGAACAUCACACUCCCAACAUAUGAUAUUUUUUAGAAUUUUUUUGAAACUUUUAAACAUGAUUUUUAUGAAGUUUGCACGGUUUUGCACUGAACGAGGGUUUUCACCGGAUACUUCCCCACAUUUUUAUUUUACUUUAUUUUAUUACGAUGAAGCACAUUUUUAUUGACCAGUUGUCGCCAGACUAAGUGGUUCUAAGAGCUUAAUGCAGUUUUUGCACUAGAAAAGUCAUCUCCACGUGGAUUACUUCCAUUCCUCAUGGUUCUGAGUUGUUGGCACGGUAAAACAAUUUUCACCGCUGGAUGUUGUCCUCUCUAAAAUUGCACCUUGACAUCCUACAUCAUUUUAUCUUCCUUACAAAAUCCAACCAACCGAGGGCCAGAGCCAAGCAUGGGUAUGCACUUUUUAUUUAUACAACAGACACUACUACAAAACGGUUUAUAUGCAACGGCACAUCAGUAACGGGUCCGACGCGACCGUUACUGAUGAACAACAUCAGUGUCGGUCGCGGCCGCGACCAUUACUGAUGAACAGAGCGGGCUCUACCCGUCCCCGCCCAGCCAUACAU